GCAAGAAACGAACAUCAGGAUGAUGGCGUUUCUUACAGGACACGUCAGGAUGGCGCUUCAGGAAGGCUUCAGGAUGAAGCAAGGAUCGCGCAGGAUGCGUAAGGGACACCUCCAGGAAGGAGAAUGAGAGCCGGUCAGGAUGAACGGUGGGCCAGGAUAGCCAGGAUGUUUCAGGAUGAAACACGCACAUUCAGGAUGAUGUGGGCAGGAUGCGGCUGUUAAUGGAAUAACACGCCUUCGGGCGCAGGAAAAGUUGUCAAGGAUGAGCAGGGAGCAAGAAAAGUAGCCGGAAUGCUGCGAAACGAACCGGGAGCACUGUUUUUACAGUGCUCCCUUUUUUUAU
rnacentral:other from 1 species